GAUGAAGAACGUAGCGAAAUGCGAUAAGUAGUGUGAAUUGCAGAAUUCAGUGAAUCAUCGAAUCUUUGAACGCACAUUGCGCCCCUUGGUAUUCCAUGGGGCAUGCCUGUUCGAGCGUCAUUUGUACCUUCAAGCUUUGCUUGGUGUUGGGUGUUUGUCCCUCGGGACUCGCCUUAAAGUCAUUGGCAGCCAGUGUUUUGGUUUUGAAGCGCAGCACAAGUCGCGAUUCAAGGCUAUCCGCCCGCUUCCACAAGCCUUUUUCACUUUUGACCUCGGAUCAGGUAGGGAUACCCGCUGAACUUAAGCAUAUCAAUAAGCGGAGGG
rnacentral:misc_RNA from 1 species